AUUGAACGCUGGCGGCAUGCCUUACACAUGCAAGUCGAACGGCAGCACGGGAGCAAUCCUGGUGGCGAGUGGCGAACGGGUGAGUAAUAUAUCGGAACGUGCCCAGUCGUGGGGAUAACGUAGCGAAAGCUACGCUAAUACCGCAUACGAUCUACGGAUGAAAGCGGGGGAUCGCAAGACCUCGCGCGAUUGGAGCGGCCGAUAUCAGAUUAGGUAGUUGGUGAGGUAAAGGCUCACCAAGCCGACGAUCUGUAGCUGGUCUGAGAGGACGACCAGCCACACUGGGACUGAGACACGGCCCAGACUCCUACGGGAGGCAGCAGUGGGAAUUUUGGACAAUGGACGCAAGUCUGAUCCAGCCAUUCCGCGUGCAGGAUGAAGGCCCUCGGGUUGUAAACUGCUUUUGUACGGAACGAAAAGGUUUCUAUUAAUACUAGGUAGCUCAUGACGGUACCGUAAGAAUAAGNACCGGCUAACUACGUG
rnacentral:rRNA from 1 species